rnacentral:rRNA from 1 species
UACGUAGGGUGCGAGCGUUAAUCGGAAUUACUGGGCGUAAAGCGUGCGCAGGCGGCGCGUUAAGACAGGUGUGAAAGCCCCCGAGCUUAACUUGGGAAUUGCGCUUGUGACUGGCGUGCUGGAGUGUGGCAGAGGGAGGUGGAAUUCCACGUGUAGCAGUGAAAUGCGUAGAGAUGUGGAGGAACACCGGUGGCGAAGGCGGCCUGCUGGGCAGUGGCUGACGCUGAGGCGCGACAGCGUGGGGAGCAAACAGG